rnacentral:rRNA from 1 species
CACGUAGGGGGCGAGCGUUGUCCAGAUUUAUUGGGCGUAAAGAGCUCGUAGGCGGCUCAGUAAGUCAGGUGUGAAAACUCCAGGCUCAACCUGGAGACGCCACUUGAUACUGCUGUGGCUAGAGUCCGGUAGGGGAGCAUGGAAUUCCUGGUGUAGCGGUGAAAUGCGCAGAUAUCAGGAGGAACACCAGUGGCGAAGGCGGUGCUCUGGGCCGGAACUGACGCUGAGGAGCGAAAGCGUGGGGAGCAAACAGG